rnacentral:rRNA from 1 species
CAGCCGCCGCGGUAAUACGUAGGGACCAAGCGUUGUUCGGAUUUACUGGGCGUAAAGGGCGCGUAGGCGGCCCUACAAGUCACUUGUGAAAUCUCCGGGCUUAACUCGGAACGGCCAAGUGAAACUGUAGAGCUAGAGUGUGGAAGGGGCAAUCGGAAUUCUUGGUGUAGCGGUGAAAUGCGUAGAUAUCAAGAGGAACACCUGAGGUGAAGACGGGUUGCUGGGCCAACACUGACGCUGAGGCGCGAAAGCCAGGGGAGCAAACGGG